rnacentral:rRNA from 1 species
GACGAACGCUGGCGGCGUGCUUAACACAUGCAAGUCGAACGGUGAAGCGCCUUCCUUUUUGGUGGGUGUGGAUGAGUGGCGAACGGGUGAGUAACACGUGAGUAACCUGCCCCCUUCUUCUGGAUAACCGCAUGAAAGUGUGGCUAAUACGGGAUAUUCUGGGUCUGUCGCAUGAUGGGUCUGGGAAAGAUAUUGUUUCGGUGGGGGAUGGGCUCGCGGCCUAUCAGCUUGUUGGUGGGGUGAUGGCCUACCAAGGCGGUGACGGGUAGCCGGCCUGAGAGGGUGGACGGUCACACUGGGACUGAGACACGGCCCAGACUCCUACGGGAGGCAGAAGUGGGGAAUAUUGCACAAUGGGCGCAAGCCUGAUGCAGAGACGCCGCGUGAGGGAUGGAGGCCUUCGGGUUGUGAACCUCUUUCGCCAGUGAAGCAGGCCUGCCUCGUUUGUGGGUGGGUUGACGGUAGCUGGAUAAGAAGCGCCGGCUAACUACGUG